UAUACAAACACACACUGCAUUAUAUACACACACUAUACAAACAGUGUAUAUAAUGCAGUGUGUGUUUGUGUA